CCCUUAGAUGUUCUGGGCUGCACGCGCGCUACACUGACGGAUUCAACGAGCUUACAACCUUGGCCGAAAGGUCUGGGUAAUCUCCAAAAUCCGUCGUGAUGGGGAUAGAUUAUUGCAAUUAUUAAUCUUCAACGAGGAAUGCCUAGUAAGCGCAAGUCAUCAGCUUGCGUUGAUUACGUCCCUGCCCUUUGUACACACCGCCCGUCGCUCCUACCGAUUGAAUGGUCCGGUGAAGCGUUUGGACUAUGGUUUUCUGAUGGUCCGCCGUUGGAUUACCGUGGGAAGUUCGUUAAACCUUAUCAUUUAGAGGAAGGAGAAGUCGUAACA
rnacentral:rRNA from 1 species